rnacentral:snoRNA from 1 species
CCCCUCUCAGGAUUACACCUGGAGAGUUUCCAGUACUUUACCAGUCUCGGCUGUGGGAGGGAGAGUCAAGCAGAGACAUACACAUUCCAUUCCUAGCUUGGCCAGUGGUUAGUGAGUGGAAGGCAAUCUGCUACAAGU